GCUGAGGCCCCAGCGGAUGGGACGGGGCCGCGCGCUCCGGAGGGCCGCCCGCUUUGCUGCGUCCGCGACUCCAGCGCUGACCUCACCCGGAGCCGCCGUCCCGGGCACACGCCCACGUGGUCCCGGGGCCGCUCCCGACGCCGACCCCUGGGCGCGCGCCCAGCCCCGGGCAGGGGACACACUCCGCCCCGCACUCAGCCCACCCCAGCAGCGGGAGGCCCCUCGGGGGCAGCCCCCGGCCCCGCGGGGGACGCGAAGCCCUCCGCUCACUUUCGGAACCAGAAGCGUCGCAUCACGGUCCUCCCGAGGGUGCCUUCCUGGGUGCUGCCCGGGCGUCUGCCUUCAGAGCUGCCGGGACCCCCUGACUCUGCGGCGCGGCCGGGCUGCCCGCCGGAGCAGAGAGAGACCAACUCAACGGCCGCUCCCCUCGGGAUCCCCGGCUUUCCCGAUCAGAUGACCUCCCCCGCCGUCGGACCUCUUACCUGGACACCCUCAUGCCUUGGGCACCGGGCAGGGUCCAGUUUGUUUUGUUGUCCCCAGCAUCUCCACAGUUCCUGAACUUGCUAGAAUCUCAUCACUGGAAGUUACUGAGCUGUUUGACAUCCUGCUAGCUGCACCGUGAGGAGCGCGCAAAGAGCUUACAUACGGAGACACGAACGCGGAGUUUAAGAAUUCUAGCCCACAUUUCCAUACUAGCUUCUUUUCCUACCUCCACACUUCCCUUAAUUUUCAGCCUCUCACAGCAAAACAGUUGAAAGAGAAUUUUUCAUGACAAAUGAGAACUAGUUAAUAAAAGAAAGAAAUGCUUUCUGCUAUAGAAGAAAAAAUUAAACCUAUUUAAGUUCACAAAGUCACUAGCAGGGCCCAGAUAACUCCACGUGUUUUGCUAUAAAUAAGAACUGAUCGCUGGGACUCAUAACUGCAACUUUAACACCCAGUGUUUGCCAGCAAAUGGUCCAUGUGGCCUGAGUCACGACCCACAGGCCCUGAGCAGGCGCCCACGGUGCACACAUGGAGCGUGGGGCCAGGUCACCAUGCCCGCCUCAUGCCGUGCAGGGAACCGGCAGUUCCCAUGGCCAGGAUCCUCCCAGACCCGACUCUGCUUGGUGAUCUAACUGGCCCUCCGCCGGGCCACUGCUCCCACACCCAUAAGGCGAUGGGCCAUUCCUGUCAGUGUCACUGUACAAAGAACUCCGUCCAGCACGCCGCCAGAGGCAGAGACGGAGAAGCGCUUGCUCAUGCAGACCACCCAGGAGCAGACGUGAUUCCAGCGCCCCA